rnacentral:rRNA from 1 species
UACGGAGGGUGCUAGCGUUGUUCGGAAUUACUGGGCGUAAAGAGCUCGUAGGCGGUCUGUUGCGUCGGCUGUGAAAACCCGAGGCUCAACCUCGGGCCUGCAGCCGAUACGGGCAGACUAGAGUUCGGCAGGGGAGACUGGAAUUCCUGGUGUAGCGGUGAAAUGCGCAGAUAUCAGGAGGAACACCGGUGGCGAAGGCGGGUCUCUGGGCCGAUACUGACGCUGAGGAGCGAAAGCGUGGGGAGCGAACAGG